GAGAGAGGCUCGACAGCAACGAUGACUGCUAAUUAUCGCCUCCCUGGUUAGACCCCAAGGCUCACUCG
rnacentral:tRNA from 1 species